CAGACGCGAGAGAGAGACGAGAGAGAGAGAGAGAGAGAGCUUCAGCCCUCUGCAUCUGGAAAUUUCGACCAUUUGAACUCUUCUCUCCACCGUCCAGCUCGUCACCGGUGGUGCGGGUCGCCGGAAAAUAUUCUUUUUCCCUUCUGUUCUUCGCUCCUCCCCUUGUGUUCAUUUCUCUGCUAUGGGUGUUAUUUGAGCUGAUCUUCCGUCUAAGAGCAAGAGAAAAUUUGUUGCUCAGAGCUUUAAAUCCUCGAUCCAGCCACUUCUAUCCUUUGCUAUUCAACAUGCUGUUAACGAGAAUAGAAGUUCCGCUCACCGUUGCUGUGAUGUCCGCCCGAAACCACAACGUUGUGGUGCGAAUCGUAAUAAAGUAGUUAAAGGACAAUUGAGAGGUUUAUGAGGCAUAAACUAUUAUUCUGGGCGUUUAUCAGAUAUCCUAAUUGAUGCCGAUCCCCUGUUGAUCCAUGAGAAUUCAUAGAUGUGCUGGGUAAAGAACUGAUCAAAAAUUUCCCUUUUUAUGUAACUAUCAAUGCUUAUGUAUUUUAUUUUGGAGGGGUCUGGUUAGGUGCUCCACAUAUGCUACAUCCAGGGCUUCUAUUUUGGUAUAUAUAUUGUUUGUUCAUUGGAA